rnacentral:misc_RNA from 1 species
CUCCUGACUCGCGCACUUCCUCCUCUUGCUCCACCAAAGUCUUCUCUUCCUGUCGACGACCUAGAAAAGCCUUCCACUGAGCACAACUCUACUCCCUCCCUGAUGGCGGACCCUGAGAACGCCAAAGAGGCAACGACCUUGCGAUACGCUUUUGGCAAUGUUCUCUCCUUCUUCAUUCUUCUCUUGAUCGGAGUUCUCGCUUUCUCGAUCCGUCUUUUCUCUGUGAUAAAGUACGAGAGUGUUAUUCAUGAGUUUGAUCCCUAUUUCAAUUACAGAGUCACUCAGUUUUUAACAAAGAAUGGGAUAUAUGACUUUUGGAAUUGGUUUGAUGACCGAACCUGGUAUCCUCUUGGUCGAGUGAUUGGAGGAACUGUUUACCCUGGUUUGACGUUGACUGCAGNNNNNNNNNNNNGGUGGAUAUUGAAUUCUUUGAAUGUUCCUUUGUCUGUUGAGACUGUUUGUGUAUUCACUGCACCAAUUUUCUCUGCGUUUGCUUCAUGGGCCACUUAUCUUUUGAC